rnacentral:rRNA from 1 species
AAAUAUAAUAGUAGCUAAAGAUAUAUUAAUUAUUAUUAAAGUAUAAAAAUUAGUUUAUUUUAAUAACACUAUUUCAUAUAAAUUUUAUUAAAAAUAUUUAAUCUUAAAAUAGAUAAAUUUAUAGUGCCAGCAAUCGCGGCUAUACUUUAUAUUCUAUAUAUUACGAUAAACUGAACUUUAUUUUUCUUUAAAAAAUUUAAUUUUAAGUGAAAUUUCAUUUAAAUUUAUUAUGAUAUUUAAAAAUCAAUUUAAAUUUUUAUAUCUAAAAUAGGAUUAGAAACCCUAGUAUAUUUAAAUUAUCUAAGGAAGUAUAUAUUAAUAAAACCUAAUUAUUUAAUGGCGGCUUUUAUUUCACUAGAGGAACUUGUAAAAUUUUAGAUAAUACCCUAUAAAUUUUACUUAAAUUAUAAGCUUAUAUAUCGCCAUCUAAAGAGAUUUUAUUAAAAAUUUUUCUCAAUAAAAAGAUAAAAAGUUAGGUCAAGGUGUAGUUUAUAAUUAAGGCUUUUAUGAGUUACUUUAAAUUAAAUUUAAGAAAAUUUUUCUUAAAAUAUUUAUAGAAAUAGGAUUUAUUAGUACUAUUACAUAAUAAUAAUUUUUUAUGAAACACUUUAAUAAAAGUGUACAUAUCGCCCGUCACCCUUAUUCUAUAAAUAAGGUAAGUCGUAACAUAGUUGAUAUUCUGGAAAGAAUAUCAAG